rnacentral:lncRNA from 1 species
UGAUCCAAAGAAGUUUCGGUCUGGCAGUUUUCUGAUGGUUCCAACAUAGAUGUGGUUCUAGCCUAGAAAUGAGUUAAUUGCUCAACCUCGUGGUAGCACUACUUGUGGAAGAGGUGGCUGGGCUAGUAUGGCCUAGGUGGUCGUGGAGGGAAAAGUGGGCAUGACCCGACCCGAUGUAUGAGAAAAAUGAUUUUGACCUUGUGAAUGAAAAUACAGGUACUUGCAAUGUCAAUGCAAACAAUGCUAGUUAAGGGGAUUCUGGUACGUAGCCAACCCAACCUAGUCAAGGACCCUCCCUAGGAGCUAGGGGAAAGGAAGUGCAUGUAUCUUAUAGAAUACCAUUAGGUCAAAACUGGGUUGAGCAACAUAGCUNNNNNNNNNNCGGCGGUCAAGGACCCUCCCUAAGAGCUAGGGGGAAAGGAAGUACAUAUCUUAUAGAAUACCAUUAGGUCAAAACUGGGUUGAGCAACAUAGCNNNNNNNNNNGGCGGUCAAGGACCCUCCCUAGGAGCUAGGGGAAAGGAAGUACAUAUAUCUUAUAGAAUACCAUUAGGUCAAAACUGGGUUGAGCAACAUAGCUGAGGGUUGCUCUUUGCAAGUUGAAGUGAAGAAAAGGCAGACGGUAAGGUGUGUGUGUGCCGCCUAUGCAAGCAUUUUCUUCACUUCCCCAUAUCUCCUGUGCACUCUUCGUNNNNNNNNNNGAACGAUAGGGUGUGUGUUCCGCUUAUGCAAGCAUUUUCAUCACUUCCCCAUAUCUCCUGUGCACUCUUCGUUCCUGGU